rnacentral:rRNA from 1 species
UACGGAGGGGGCUAGCGUUGUUCGGAAUUACUGGGGCGUAAAGCGCACGUAGGCGGCUUUGUAAGUUAGAGGUGAAAGCCCGGGGCUCAACUCCGGAAUUGCCUUUAAGACUGCAUCGCUAGAAUUGUGGAGAGGUAAGUGGAAUUCCGAGUGUAGAGGUGAAAUUCGUAGAUAUUCGGAAGAACACCAGUGGGCGAAGGCGGCUCACUGGCCCCGGUACUGACGCUGAGGUGCGAAAGCGUGGGGAGCAAACAGG